UCUUUCUUUCUUUCAUCUACACACUCACUCACACUUACUGUGUGAGGUGAGGAAGAAACAACAACAAUGCUUCGGUUAACAUCUUCACCCUUUUCUCUUUCUCUCCCUAUUUCACUUUCCUUCUUCACUCUCCCUUCAUUCUUCCCUCGCCCUUCACUCUACCUUCCUUCUUCCACUUUCCAAACUAUUUCACUUCGCAUCAAAACACCACCACCUCUUUCUUGUUCUCUUUCUUCUUCUGUCAAGGAAUCUGCUUCAUUUUCUCAGAUGGAGAAUAGUUUGUUGUUGUACUCAAGAGCUUAUUGGGUCAGUGAAUUUGUUAUUGCUUGGAAUGUUGAUGUUGAAAAUGGCUUUUGUUACUUACUUUCUAGCAAAUAUGCUUCUUUGAGCAUUUCAAAUGGUCAAAUUCAAGGUGAGGAUUUGAAAAUUAAGCUUGAAGAGGAUAAGGCUGGCCUUUCUGCAAAUGUAGUGGAGAAAUUUCCACAUAUUCGAGGUUACAGAGCUUUCAGACUGCCACCCGGUUCGGAUGUUAAAUCUUUUCUUAAAUCCCAGUUGGCGGUUGUUAUUUGUGAUUCUGAUGAGAAAUGCAGGAAUUGUACUGGUUUGCAGUUACCUGGUGUUUUAGACGAGCUUUUCUCAUAUAAUGGCCCCCUUGGUGCACUUUUCUCAGAGGAAGCUGUGUCACUUUACUUGUGGGCGCCCACUGCUCAAUUGGUGCAUGCUUACAUCUAUAAGCACCCAUCAGGAGAUGAUCCCAUAGAAAUUGUUCCUCUCGAGGAGGAACAUGGUGUUUGGAGAACGAAAGGGCCAAAAAGUUGGGAGGGCUGUUACUAUGUUUAUGAAGUAUGUGUAUACCACCCUAGCACAUCAAGGGUUGAAAAAUGCUAUGCAAAUGAUCCAUAUGCUAGAGGACUUUCAGCAGAUGGCAGGCGGACUUUUCUGCUUGAUCUUGACUCAGACGAGUUAAAACCUGAUGGAUGGGAUAAUCUGGCAAAUGAGAAACCCAUUUUACAUUCUUUCUCUGAUAUAAGCAUAUAUGAAAUGCAUAUAAGGGAUUUCAGUGCCAAUGACCUCUCUGUGCAAACUGAAUUUCGCGGUGGUUAUCUGGCCUUUACUUUUCCGGAUUCGGCAGGUGUACUUCAUCUUAAGAAAUUAUCAAGUGCUGGUAUCACUCAUGUCCAUCUAUUGCCAGCAUUUCAGUUUGCUGGGGUUGAUGAUCAAAAGGAGAACUGGAAAAAUGUUGAUACGUCGGUACUGGAAAGCUUCCCACCUGAUUCAGAUCAGCAACAAGCUCUUAUUACAGCCAUCCAAAACAUUGAUGGAUAUAACUGGGGGUACAACCCUGUUCUUUGGGGUGUCCCUAAAGGAAGCUAUGCAAGUAACCCAAAUGGUCCAAAUCGUGCAGUUGAGUUUCGUAAGAUGGUUCAGGCUCUUAAUCGUACCGGCCUUCGCAUUGUGUUGGAUGUUGUCUACAAUCAUUUGCAAGGAAGUGGGCCCUUUGAUGAACAUUCUGUCCUUGAUAAGAUUGUUCCAGGUUACUAUCUAAGAAGGAACACAGAUGGUUUUAUUGAGAACAGUACUUGUAUGAAUAAUACUGCCAGUGAGCACUUUAUGGUUGAGCGAUUGAUCCUUGACGAUCUUGUACACUGGGCAGUCAAUUACAAGAUUGAUGGGUUCAGAUUUGACCUUAUGGGUCAUAUAAUGAAGAGCACAAUGGUGAAAGCAAAAAAUGCUCUCCAUUGUUUAACAAAAGAAAAGGAUGGAGUUGAUGGUUCAAGCAUCUACAUAUAUGGUGAAGGAUGGGACUUUGGUGAAGUUGCUAAAAACGGGCGUGGGAUAAAUGCUUCUCAGUUCAAUCUUUCUGGAACACAUAUUGGGACAUUUAAUGAUCGAAUUCGAGAUGCCAUGCUUGGUGGAUCUCCAUUCGGCCACCCUCUUCAACAGGGUUUUGUGACUGGUCUACUUUUGCAGCCUAAUGACCAUGACCAUGGAACAGAAGCUGAUAUGAAAUCCAUGCUUGCCGCAUCAAUGGAUCACAUCCAGAUUGGAAUGGCUGCAAACUUGCAAGAUUUUGUGCUAACCAACUCUAAAGGAGAAGAGGUGAAAGGAUCAGAAGUAUUAACAUAUGGUGGGACACCCGUUGCGUUUGCCUCAUGCCCCAUAGAGACUGUCAAUUAUGUUUCUGCUCAUGAUAAUGAAACCCUCUUUGACAUUGUGAGCUUAAAGACUCCGAUGGAUAUCAGUGUAGCCGAGAGAUGCAGGAUAAACCAUUUGGCAACAAGUGUAAUAGCAUUAUCACAGGGCAUACCUUUUUUUCACUCUGGUGAUGAGAUACUCCGCUCAAAAUCACUGGAUCGAGAUUCAUACAAUUCUGGGGAUUGGUUCAACAGGCUCGACUUUACAUACAAUUCCAAUAAUUGGGGUGUUGGUCUUCCUCCACAGGAGAAAAAUGAAAAAAGCUGGCCACUAAUCAAACCAAGACUUGCAGACCCGUCCUUCGGGCCUCAAAGGACUGACAUCCUUGCUACCGUCGACAAUUUCUUAAACCUGUUGCGUAUAAGGUAUUCUUCACCACUUUUCCGCCUGAGGACGGCAAAUGCUAUACAGCAACGAGUACGCUUUCACAACACUGGACCGUCAUUGGUUUAUGGAGUCAUAGUGAUGAGCAUUGAAGAUGGACACGAUGGCUUUCCUGGGCUGUCUCAGCUGGAUCCCAUAUAUUCGUUCGUUGUCGUUGUUUUCAAUGCAAGUCCAGAAGAGGUAUCAUUUGUUAGCCCUUCCCUGCAAUCAAGAAGUCUUCAAUUGCAUCCCAUUCAGGUAAUGUCAUCUGAUGAUCUUGUUAAGAGAUCAAAAUAUGAGUCUUCUUCUGGCUGUUUCAUUGUGCCUCGAAGAACGACAGCUGUGUUCGUCGAGCCAAGGAAAAUGUGAUGUGAAUGAUUCUUUCAGUUAUGGAUGUUAAACCAAUAAUGUAAUAAUUGCAGGCUGUAUUACUGGUGAUCAUGAUGCUAAUUUUGGUUCAGCAGGAUAGUUCUUUGGUGACCUUCACACCCCCAACACUUUUGGAUCAUAGAUUUGAGAUGGAAUUGGACAUGAGAAAAAUACUAAUCUAGGUCACUUUUCAAAUGUUUCACACACUUAUCAUGAGUACAAUGAUGAGCAAAACAAUUAUUAACACUCUGGAAAUUGCAAGUAAACUCCCAAAAAAACUUAAUUUUUUA